rnacentral:rRNA from 1 species
UACGAAGGACCCGAGCGUUAUCCGGAUUUAUUGAGUUUAAAGGGUGCGUAGGCGGAUUAGUAAGUCAGUGGUGAAAGCCCAUCGCUUAACGGUGGAACUGCCAUUGAUACUGCUAGUCUUGAGUAUGGUUGAGGUGGGCGGAAUGUGUCAUGUAGCGGUGAAAUGCUUAGAUAUGACCCAGAACACCAAUUGCGAAGGCAGCUCGCUAAGCCAUAACUGACGCUGAGGCACGAAAGCGUGGGGAGCAAACAGG